CAGCCGCCGCGGGAAUACGAAGGGGGCUAGCGUUGCUCGGAAUGACUGGGCGUAAAGGGCGCGUAGGCGGUCACGAUAGUCAGAUGUGAAAUUCCUGGGCUUAACCUGGGGACUGCAUUUGAUACUGUGUGGCUUGAGUGUGGAAGAGGGUCGUGGAAUUCCCAGUGUAGAGGUGAAAUUCGUAGAUAUUGGGAAGAACACCGGUGGCGAAGGCGGCGACCUGGUCCAUAACUGACGCUGAGGCGCGAAAGCGUGGGGAGCAAACAGGAUUAGAUACCCCGGUAGUCCCUGUCUCUUAUAC
rnacentral:rRNA from 1 species